CAUGAUACAUUUUUCUCUCUUCCCUUCUCCUACCAUUUGAACUUUCUUUCCUUUCACCUUUGUUGAGCCACUGGCUUGGGAUGGGGAUGUGGAAUGAGGUGGGAAUACCCUGGGCAUUGCUGGUCCUCUCCACACUGAAAGACCUCAACUUGGUAGUCUUGACAAGGCCCAUGUUGUUCAACUGACAGAUGACUUCCAAGUGUCCAUUCUUCCUUUUCCAACUCUGACCUUGGUAACAGUGUUCAGGUCUUUAGUAGAGAAGAAUGAAAUUUACCCACUGUAUUGAAGCUCCCUAAUUUAUCAAGAGAGCUACAUAGAGAGAGCUGGAAACUAUAUCCAUCUUUCCAUCUUCACAUGAGUCUAUUUAACCCCCACCUGGCUUAUUGUGUUUUCCUGCUUUCAACCUAUCAGGUCUAUGAUUACAACAGAAAUACCAUCACCAACAGCUCAGGUGGGAAUUGUUCUCAGAGAUAUUUGCAAAGCCUUGUCAUACAUUCCAAUGAGCUGCUGGCCCAGGUGACACUCACCCUGUUCCCACAUCUCCUAAAAGAGUGAUAUUUCUGUGUCAAUAGACAUAUUUUGCCCCACAAAAUAAGGAGAACAUGCAAUUUCAAUGCAAAUUUUGACAUUUUAAGAUGACUGGUUUACUGUCU
rnacentral:lncRNA from 1 species